AGUGAACGCUGGCGGUAGGCCUAACACAUGCAAGUCGAACGGCAGCACAGUAAGAGCUUGCUCUUACGGGUGGCGAGUGGCGGACGGGUGAGGAAUACAUCGGAAUCUACUUUUUCGUGGGGGAUAACGUAGGGAAACUUACGCUAAUACCGCAUACGACCUACGGGUGAAAGCAGGGGAUCUUCGGACCUUGCGCGAUUGAAUGAGCCGAUGUCGGAUUAGCUAGUUGGCGGGGUAAAGGCCCACCAAGGCGACGAUCCGUAGCUGGUCUGAGAGGAUGGUCAGCCACACUGGAAAGGAGACACGGUCCAGACUGCUACGGGAGGGAGCAGUGGGGAAUAUUGGACAAUGGGCGGAAGCCUGAUCCAGCCAUACCGCGUGGGUGAAGAAGGCCUUCGGGUUGUAAAGCCCGUUUUGUUGGGAAAGAAAAGCAGCAGGUUAAUACCCCGCUGUUCUGACGGUACCCAAAGAAUAAGCACCGGCUAACUUCGUG
rnacentral:rRNA from 1 species